AGUGAACGCUGGCGGUAGGCCUAACACAUGCAAGUCGAACGGCAGCACAGUAAGAGCUUGCUCUUACGGGUGGCGAGUGGCGGGCGGGUGAGGAAUACAUCGGAAUCUACUUUUUCGUGGGGGAUAACGUAGGGAAACUUACGCUAAUACCGCAUACGACCUACGGGUGAAAGCAGGGGAUCUUCGGACCUUGCGCGAUUGAAUGAGCCGAUGUCGGAGUAGCUAGUUGGCGGGGUAAAGGCCAACCAAGGCGACGAUCCGUAGCUGGUCUGAGAGGAUGAUCAGCCACACUGGAACUGAGACACGGUCCAGACUCCUACGGGAGGCAGCAGUGGGGAAUAUUGGACAAUGGGCGCAAGCCUGAUCCAGCCAUACCGCGUGGGUGAAGAAGGCCUUCGGGUUGUAAAGCCCUUUUGUUGGGAAAGAAAAGCAGCAGGUUAAUACCCCGCUGUUCUGACGGUACCCAAAGAAUAAGCACCGGCUAACUUCGUG
rnacentral:rRNA from 1 species